CUUUGCAGGGGCUUAACCAGCAGGCUGUUGUUAUUCAAGGUCACUUCACCGCUGGCAUGAGUGAUGCUCUCUUCUUCCAGCGGGAUAUCCAGGUGUAAGCGCCCACUAACUUUCCCACCCACCUGCAAUUCAUCCAGCGUUUCGGCCACCGAAUCCUUAAGUGGCGUCGCGGUAAAGUAGUCAUGAACAUCGCGCCCUUCACCCAGGACAUCCGCAUCGACAUACAGUUUUUCUUUCAAGUAAUCAGGAAUGAUGGCGCUGAUAUUGCUGCCAGUAACCUUGCCCAACAGGGUGUGUGGCGCAUUCAUCCACAAGCCUUCAUUGAGGAAGUUAAGGUCAAUGGCCAAAUUAUCUAAGGCUGGCCAGUCCGGUUGAAACUGAAAAACCGCAUU
rnacentral:ncRNA from 1 species